rnacentral:rRNA from 1 species
CCUACGGGUGUCAGCAGUGAGGAAUAUUGGUCAAUGGGCGCGAGCCUGAACCAGCCAAGUAGCGUGAAGGAUGACUGCCCUACGGGUUGUAAGCUUCUUUUAUCAAGGAAUAAAGUGAGGCACGUGUGCCUUUUUGUAUGUACUUUAUGAAUAAGGCUCGGCUAACUCCGUGCCAGCAGCCGCGGUACUACGGAGGAUACGAGCGUUAUGCUGAUUUAUUUGGCUUAAAGGGAGCGUAGAUGGGUUGUUAAGUCAGUUGUGAAAGUUUGCGGCUCAACCGUACAAUUGCAAUUGAUACUGGCAGUCUUGAGUACAGUAGAGGGAGGCGGAAUUCGUGGUGUAGCGGUGAAAUGCGUAGAUAUCACGAAGAACUCCGAUUGCGAAGGCAGCUUACUAAACUGCCACUGACAUUGAGGCUCGAAAGUGUGGGUAUCAAACAGGAUUAGAUACCCCAGUAGUC